rnacentral:lncRNA from 1 species
CACCUUUGCACUUUGGAGUUUGCACUUAAUACAUAACGAAGGAGUAUCUUUCUUGGUAAAUAUAUUGCUUUUAACUUCUGCAAAGUUAAUGACUUGUUUUUUGGAAAAAAACCUUGCUUCAGAAAUAUAGCAGAGAAACAUUCUAAAUUGUUUCUGCUAUUCACUCCAUGAAAGCAUCUUGUUCCGAGACAGGGGAUUACUGGGGACUGUGAAGUGAAGGAAAAUGCCAGCUGCAGGACCCUGUCUUUUGCAUGCAAAAUCAAAGAGGGCUGUUGGAUUUUUACUUCAGAACUCAGAUGGUUUUCAGGAGCUGCAAAGUGGCAUAUGGAAACAUGAAAGCCUUUUCUCUGUAACAUUCUUACCAAUGGAUUUAAUUUAUUGACAAAGGGGAUAGAGUACUAGCAUUCAUGCCUUUUAAGCCUUUAAAACAUUUUAAAAUUAUGCAUUUUCUCAAAACUAUUCAUUUCACUCCCUUAAAAGAUGGGGUGAAAGAGGCAGGUCUGUCUGACUGAUUACUGUUCAGAAUAAACUGAAAUGCAGUAUUUUCA